GCUCUGUGGGUGGAUGAGGGGAAGCGGAGAGCAGGAAUGGCAGGAGAGCGGUGAGAGACCUCCGUCCCAGUGAGGAUGACAUGUUCUAACUCAGGAAAUGAAUAGAUGCUCUUGCGAUUGAAGAAAAAUCUACGCUGGAGGCAGACAGGCUGGCAGAUAAGGAGACUGAAGCAUCUAGAGUUGGAGUAAUUUCCACAAGAUCACAGAGGCAAGAUUUCACUCUGUCACCCAGACUGGAGUGCAGUGGCACAAACAUAGCUCACUGAAGCCUCAAACUCCUGGGCUCAAGAGAUCCUUCUGCUUCAGCCUCCUGAGUAGCUGGGACUUCAGAUGCUGUCUCUGAAUUUGAGUCGGAGUUUCCUGACCCUUUGCAAGCUGCAUUUUAGAAUCAGAGGAAUCCCAGUCCUCUCUCUCUCACUGACCCCGAAGAUAAGCAUUGGAAAGGGGAGCUUUGGGGAAAUGAAUCUGCCCUGUCAUCUGCGUAUAGAGCUAAUCUUAAAUCCCAACUGCCAAAUGGAUCCUGAGGUGUCAGAAACUCUCCCGAGAUAAGGGGGCUUCUAGCAACCAUCUGCAUUCUGGACCCAGGUA
ensembl:lncRNA LINC00970 long intergenic non-protein coding RNA 970